rnacentral:rRNA from 1 species
GUUAAGUCCGGCAACGAGCGCAACCCCUACCCUUAGUUACCAGCGGGUUAUGCCGGGGACUCUAAGGGGACUGCCUUGGUUAACGAGGAGGAAGGUGGGGACGACGUCAAGUCAUCAUGGCCUUUAUGUCCAGGGCUACACACGUGCUACAAUGGUCGGUACAAAGGGCUGCAAACCCGCGAGGGGGAGCGAAUUCCAAAAAGCCGGUCUCAGUUCGGAUUGCAG